rnacentral:rRNA from 2 species
GCCCGGCCGGGGCUUACCAUGCAAGUCGAACGGUGAAGCCCAGCUUGCUGGGUGGAUCAGUGGCGAACGGGUGAGUAACACGUGAGCAACCUGCCCUCCACUUCGGGAUAAGCCUUGGAAACGAGGUCUAAUACCGGAUACGAGCACCUACCGCAUGGUGGGUGUUGGAAAGUUUUUCGGUGGGGGAUGGGCUCGCGGCCUAUCAGCUUGUUGGUGGGGUAAUGGCCUACCAAGGCGUCGACGGGUAGCCGGCCUGAGAGGGCGACCGGCCACACUGGGACUGAGACACGGCCCAGACUCCUACGGGAGGCAGCAGUGGGGAAUAUUGCACAAUGGGCGAAAGCCUGAUGCAGCGACGCCACGUGAGGGAUGACGGCCUUCGGGUUGUAAACCUCUUUCAGCAGGGAAGAAGCGCAAGUGACGGUACCUGCAGAAGAAGCGCCGGCUAACUACGUGCCAGCAGCCGCGGUAAUACGUAGGGCGCAAGCGUUGUCCGGAAUUAUUGGGCGUAAAGAGCUCGUAGGCGGUCUGUCGCGUCUGGUGUGAAAUCUCAUGGCUCAACUGUGAGCUUGCAUCGGGUACGGGCAGACUAGAGUGCUGUAGGGGAGACUGGAAUUCCUGGUGUAGCGGUGGAAUGCGCAGAUAUCAGGAGGAACACCGAUGGCGAAGGCAGGUCUCUGGGCAGUUACUGACGCUGAGGAGCGAAAGCAUGGGGAGCGAACAGGAUUAGAUACCCUGGUAGUCCAUGCCGUAAACGUUGGGCACUAGGUGUGGGGCCAGUUCCACUGGUUCUGUGCCGUAGCUAACGCAUUAAGUGCCCCGCCUGGGGAGUACGGCCGCAAGGCUAAAACUCAAAGGAAUUGACGGGGGCCCGCACAAGCGGCGGAGCAUGCGGAUUAAUUCGAUGCAACGCGAAGAACCUUACCAAGGCUUGACAUGUACGAGAAAGCCCCAGAGAUGGGGUUCUCUUUGGACACUCGUACACAGGUGGUGCAUGGUUGUCGUCAGCUCGUGUCGUGAGAUGUUGGGUUAAGUCCCGCAACGAGCGCAACCCUUGUCUCAUGUUGCCAGCGGGUUAUGCCGGGGACUCAUGGGAGACUGCCGGGGUCAACUCGGAGGAAGGUGGGGAUGACGUCAAAUCAUCAUGCCCCUUAUGUCUUGGGCUUCACGCAUGCUACAAUGGCCGGUACAGAGGGCUGCGAUACCGUGAGGUGGAGCGAAUCCCAAAAAGCCGGUCUCAGUUCGGAUCGGGGUCUGCAACUCGACCCCGUGAAGUCGGAGUCGCUAGUAAUCGCAGAUCAGCAACGCUGCGGUGAAUACGUUCCCGGGCCUUGUACACACCGCCCGUCAAGUCACGAAAGUUGGUAACACCCGAAGCUCACGGCCCAACCCUUGUGGAGGGAGUGGUCGAAAGGUGGGACCA